UAAUAUUCUCACAUCUCAUUCCAGCAAGCUUUUCUUCAAAUCUUUUCAUUGCAUAAUAUAUUUUCGAUCCCUUUUUGUUCUUGUUAAAACACCAUGACCGUCCCUACCAUUCUGCAUGCAAACGUCGCUCGCAUUAAGUUUUUACUUGAUGCUCCUCUUAGCAAAAAAUGGCAUUCAGCUUUCGCCAAAAUUUACUGCUCCAGAGCUCUUCUGUCUCUGCGCAAAACAACCACCAAAAAUACUAGUAAAAAAGUUCCCCGCUCCUCUUCAUAUACUGUUUUGAGUAUUGUCGAUGUUCCACUGGAUAAUGAUGAUCAAUACUUCAAGGUUGAUCCCGGAAGCCUUACAGAGCUUGUGAAGGAGAAAAAUCUAGACAGACUUCAUGAGUUUGCUGGCGUUCAUGGCGUAGCUACUGCUCUGAAAACAGAUAUUGAAGGAGGAAUAUGCAGCAGCGAUGAAGAAGAUUUUGCUCGGCGACGUGAGACGUUUGGUUCAAACACUUAUAAGAAACCGCCAUCAAAAAGCUUCUUUCAUUUUAUGGUGGAAGCAUUCAAAGAUGUUACUAUAUUGAUUCUUUCAGGCUGUGCAUCUCUUUCUCUUGCUUUUGGCAUAAAAGAGCAUGGCCUCAAGGAAGGUUGGUACGACGGUGGAAGCAUUUUUGUGGCUGUCUUUCUUGUCAUCGCGGUUUCAGCUGUAAGUAAUUACAGACAAAGCAGACAAUUUGACAAACUAUCUAAAGUGAGCAACAAUAUCCAAAUCGAAGUCAUCAGGAAAGGUCGGCGGCAACAAAUUUCAAUUUUUGAAAUAGUUGUUGGAGAUGUUGUUUGCUUAAAAAUUGGAGAUCAAGUUCCUGCUGAUGGAUUGUUCCUGAACGGCCAUUCCUUACUGGUAGAUGAAUCAAGCAUGACAGGGGAGAGUGAUCAUGUGGAGAUAAACAGCAGCCAGAAUCCAUUCUUGUUCUCUGGCACCAAAGUCGCCGACGGGUAUGGUCGUAUGGUUGUCACAUCAGUUGGUAUGAAUACGCUAUGGGGCCAAAUGAUGAGUCAAAUAAGCCGGGACAAUGACGAGCAAACACCUUUGCAAGCAAGGCUCAACAAGCUAACUUCAUCGAUAGGCAAGGUUGGAUUGACGGUUGCUUUCUUGGUUCUUGUAGUCUUGAUGACUCGCUACUUCACUGGAAAUACAACAGACGAGAAUGGAAACAAAGAAUUCAUUGGAAGCAAAACAAAGGUUGACAACAUUGUCAAUGCUGUGGUGGGGAUUGUCGCUUCUGCAGUUACAAUUGUCGUAGUUGCAAUUCCAGAAGGUCUUCCAUUAGCUGUCACGCUAACUCUUGCUUAUUCGAUGAAGAGAAUGAUGAGGGAUCAAGCUAUGGUGAGAAAGCUCUCUGCCUGUGAAACAAUGGGCUCUGCCACCGUCAUUUGUACUGAUAAAACGGGGACUCUAACUCUAAAUCAGAUGAAGGUAACAAAGUUUUGGCUUGGCCAGGAAUCUAUCACAAACGGUCCUGCUUCUUCAAUUUCUCCCAGAAUUGUUGAAUUGAUUCAGGAAGGAGUUGCUUUAAAUACAACUGGUACUGUCUACAAGGCUACUAGAGGGUCUGAAAUUGAAAUCUCAGGCAGUCCUACUGAAAAAGCAAUUCUUUCUUGGGCUGCUCAAGAUCUCAACAUGGAUAUGGAGCAAAUAAAACAGAGUUGUAUUAUUCUCCAGGUUGAGGCCUUCAAUUCAAACAAGAAAAGGAGUGGAGUAAUGAUGAGGAAGAAGAUAGACAACACAAUCAAUGUGCACUGGAAAGGAGCAGCAGAGAUGAUUCUAGCAAAGUGUUCGAGUUACUAUGAUGCAUCUGCAACUGUCAAGGAUCUGGAUCAUGAUGCAAGGGAAAUAUUUGAGCACAUUAUUGAAGGUAUGGCAGCUAGCAGUCUUCGAUGCAUUGCUUUUGCACAUAAAAGUAUUUCUGAAGAAGAGCAAGAAGAUGCAAAAGAUGAGAAAAAGUUAACUGAAGACAGCUUGAGUCUAAUAGGACUGGUUGGUAUCAAGGACCCAUGUCGUCCAGGGGUAAAGAAAGCUGUGGACGAUUGCCAACAUGCUGGUGUGAACAUCAAGAUGAUCACUGGUGACAAUGUUUUCACUGCAAAAGCCAUAGCCACUGAAUGUGGAAUCCUUAGGCCGAAUGGGUUAGUCGUGGAAGGAGAGGAGUUCAGAAACUACACACUGGAGCAGAGAAUGGAGAAAGUUGAUAAAAUAUGUGUGAUGGCAAGAUCUUCUCCUUUUGAUAAAUUGCUCAUGGUGCAGUGUUUGAAACAAAAAGGUCACGUAGUUGCAGUCACUGGGGAUGGCACAAACGAUGCACCAGCUCUAAAGGAAGCAGAUAUAGGACUUUCUAUGGGAAUACAAGGCACUGAAGUGGCCAAGGAGAGCUCGGAUAUAGUAAUCAUGGAUGAUAAUUUUGCUUCUGUGGCCACAGUUCUGAAAUGGGGAAGAUGUGUUUACACCAAUAUUCAAAAAUUCAUUCAAUUCCAGCUUACAGUAAAUGUUGCUGCUCUUGUAAUAAACUUUGUAGCAGCAGUUUCUGCAGGUGAAGUACCUCUAACAACAGUUCAAUUGUUGUGGGUGAAUUUGAUCAUGGACACAUUAGGCGCCCUAGCUCUAGCCACAGAGAAGCCAACCGAGGAGCUUAUGGAUAAACCACCUGUGGGUCGUACUGAGCCACUUAUCACCAAUGUUAUGUGGAGAAAUCUUUUAGCUCAAGCUUUAUAUCAAAUAGCUAUCUUGCUGAUCUUACAGUUCAGAGGUGAAUCAAUAUUUGGUGUUAAUGAGAAGGUGAAGGAUACCUUGAUCUUCAACGCAUUUGUCCUUUGCCAAGUCUUCAAUGAAUUCAACGCAAGGAAGCUUGAAAAAAAGAAUAUGUUUAAAGGGAUACAUAAGAGCAAGUUGUUUUUGGGGAUCAUCGCAAUAACCAUCAUUCUUCAAGUAUUAAUGGUGGAAUUUCUGAAGAAGUUUGCAGAUACAGAGAGACUGAAUUGGGGUCAAUGGGGUGCUUGUAUUAGUCUUGCGGCUGCAUCUUGGCUAAUUGGUUGGCUUGUUAAGUGCAUACCUGUUCCAGAGAAACCAUUUUUCAGCUAUCUCAAGUGGAAGAAAUAGAUGGGGAGAGUGAUCAUGUAGAGGUGAACUUCUGUGGGUGACUGUUAUAUUAUUUUGCAGCAUAACCAGCAGUUAACUGCAGUGCCUGGAAUUCUGCCUCGGAUGCUGCAAACUUGUUCUGUUGUGUAUUCCAGAGGCUGGAAGCUCUCCCUUACUUCCUAUCUUCACAGAAGUCCUCUGUUUCUUUUCUUGUCUGCUCUCGGCCUAUAUCAUCCAUUUCUUCUUCGUCUGCAGUUGGACGGUUGCUGCACGCUUCUCUGGUUUGUGCUGAUUUGUUUUUGUUGCCUUCCUCUUUUUCUUGCAGUGCAACUAGUGUAACACAUAAGCUGCGGCCAUGUGUCACAUUAACUCCCUUUUUGGCAUUCUUCCUCA